GUGAGGGCGACCGAGCGUGGGGAGGAAGCACGGAAUGAACCCGUGAGCCGAUGAACAAGAAUCGGAUAUGAGGCGCGAUGGAGCAAGGCGAGCAGGCACAUCACUGCGAAGCUUUCGUGGUCAAGUCGAAGUCGCGUAGAUCCGGCGGUUGUGCGGGGAAGGGCGUUCUU
rnacentral:ncRNA from 1 species